rnacentral:rRNA from 1 species
UGGGGGAUAUUGCACAAUGGGCGAAAGCCUGAUGCAGCGACGCCGCGUGGGGGAUGAAGGCUUUCGGGUUGUAAACCUCUUUCGCUAUCGAACAAGGCCCGCUUAGGGUGGGUUGAGGGUAGGUGGAGAAGAAGCGCCGGCUAACUACGUGCCAGCAGCCGCGGUAAUACGUAGGGCGCGUGCUUUGUCCGGAAUUAUUGGGCGUAAAGGGCUUGUAGGCGGCUUGUUGCGCCUGCUGUGAAAACGCGGGGCUUAACUUCGCGCGUGCAGUGGGUACGGGCAGGCUUGAGUGUGGUAGGGGUGACUGGAAUUCCAGGUGUAGCGGUGGAAUGCGCAGAUAUCUGGAGGAACACCGAUGGCGAAGGCAGGUCACUGGGCCAUUACUGACGCUGAGGAGCGAAAGCAUGGGUAGCGAACAGG